GGGGCUGAACUGGCACUUGUUGGAAUGAACGGUUUUUUCUUAAUUUUGGUUAAGGGAAGGUCGCAUGCAAAUAAGAAGCUUUUAAGCUAUAAAGUUCUAAGUAUAUAUUUAUUAUGAGAAUAUAUAUAUUGCGUCUCGACUAAUUGCGUGCCAGCAGUCGCGGUAAUACGUAAGAGACUUAGUAUUAUUCAUCUUAAAUAGGUUUAAAGGGUACCUAGACGGUUUAAUUAUCUUUUAUAGUAAAAUUAAACUAGAGUUUAAUAUGUAGGGAGAUAGUACUAAAAGUGGAGAGUCGAUAUUUUUUGAUACUUUUUUAAAAGGUGGACUGGUAAAGGCGCAGGCAAUCUCUUAUGCAUAAACUGACGUUGAGGGACGAAGGCGCGGGUAACGAAUAGGAUUUGACACCCUAGUAGUCGUAGCAGAAAAUGAUGAAUGUCAUAGAUCAGGCCGCCUCCGAGAUCUUAGAUCUUGGGGUUCUGGAGCCAGAAUAGUAACACUGGCUUUUUAAAGGACUAAGAUUAGUUAAUCUUUAGGUUUUAGGUUUGGAUUAUAAAUGAAAAUGUAAGCAUUCCACCUCAAGAGUAAUGUGGCAACGCAGGAACUGAAAUCACUAGGCCGUUUCUAACAUCAGCAGUGAAGUAUGUUGUUUAAUUCGAUAACCCACGAACAAUCUUACCACAACUUGAAUAUUAGGGUAUUAUAUAUACUGUAAUACAAUUCUUACAGUCUAUAGGAAUAUUGUGUAUGGAAUUUAUUUCAUGUACUUUAACAAUUCAAUGAUAUUGAAUUUUUAAAUAAUACAGGUGUUGCACGGCUGUCUCCAGAUAAUGCUGUGAAGUUUUGGUUUCGACCAGUAAAUUAUCAGGAACCCAUGCUUUAUUUUGAAUAUUUUUGAUAAAGUAGUAUCCUAUCCAGUACACUCGGAGGGAAUAAUUGGGAACAUGAC
rnacentral:rRNA from 1 species